UAUUUACUUUUAAUUAGGCCUAUUAUUAAUAGCCUACUAUUUAUUAUCAUUAGGCCUCAUUAAUUAAUUAUUUAUUCAUACAUUUAAUUAUUUGUAUUGUCAUUGGUAUCAUCCUCCAUGUGGUAGUGAUAUGGCAUUCCAGGUUUCAUUAUAUGCCCUGCCGUCAUUGGCCACUCCUUUAACCUUACGAAACUGACCAAUGGAAACCUAGGAUCCACAUUCAAAUUCAUUGUGUGUACAGUACCAGGUACCAGUGGAGCCUACCAAUGUUUGACAAAUAUCUGUGAUUUUAAGGUACAAAAUACAACAAUAAUAGCUGGUUUGCUCACUGAUGACUACAAAGCAAGGAUACUUCAUUGUUGCAAGACUUAAUAUUCAACACAACUUGAUUGAUUGAAUGUUUCAUACAGCCUCUACUAGGCCUAGCCGACGAAGCCGUAGCCUAGCUGGGCCAGUACUACUGGGCCUAGCCUAGGCUAGGCUAGCUAGGACGGUGCAGUAGCUGAUGAUGCAGUGUUCGAUAGAAAAUAUACAGUAAGUGUAUCUCACAGAUACGUGUGAAAAUCAUUUAUUCCAUUAACCAUUGUUGGCUAUCAAAGAAGAGAAACCUGUGCUCACAACUACAGAAGGAUGGAUCAGCCCUGGUAAUACAAAUACAAGGAAUGUUUCAAAAAGCAACAAUAUUCGUAAUCAUACAGCCAUACCAAGGAGAAAGCUGUAGAAAGCUCCCACUUCAAUCGGCACAUCACUUAACAAAAGAUAAUUGACAAGUUAAAAAAUAAUUGAUCUGUUUUUGUUUUUUAGUUUUCUGCAAAGAAACAUAAUUGAUUUAUUUAUAUUCUCUAAAUUCAGGUUUUUUUUAAAUUAAAUAAAACAAUUGCAUUGUAAUCAUCUAUAAUCAUUUAAUUUAAUCCUUAAUGUAUUUAUAAAUUUGCUCACUAUAUACAAUGUAAUCAAAGUGUACAGUAGUAAUAAUUGCAUAUUGUUUCUUUAUAUUAUUAAUUCAUUGUCCAAUUUGACUUA
rnacentral:lncRNA from 1 species